rnacentral:rRNA from 1 species
CCCUUAGAUGUUCUGGGCCGCACGCGCGCUACAAUGAUGAAUUCAACGAGUUUAUAACCUUGGUUGAAAAGCCUGGGUAAUCUUUUGAACUUUCGUCGUGAUGGGGCUAGACCCUUGCAAUUAUUGGUCUCCAACGAGGAAUUCCUAGUAAACGCAAGUCAUCAGCUUGCAUUGAUUACGUCCCUGCCCUUUGUACACACCGCCCGUCGCUCCUACCGAUUGGGUGUGCUGGUGAAAUGUUCGGAUCGGCCGUUUGUCGCGGUUUCCGCGGCUCGUGGCUGAGAAGUUCAUUAAACCCUCCCACCUAGAGGAAGGAGAAGUCGUAACA